rnacentral:rRNA from 1 species
GCGAGGUGGAGCUAAUCCCAGAUAACCGAUCGUAGUCCGGAUCGCAGUCUGCAACUCGACUGCGUGAAGUUGGAAUCGCUAGUAAUCGCGGAUCAGCAUGUCGCGGUGAAUACGUUCCCGGGUCUUGUACACACCGCCCGUCACACCAUGGGAGCGGGUUUUACCAGAAGUAGGUAGCUUAACCGCAAGGGGGGCGCUUACCACGGUAGGAUUCGUGACUGGGGUGAAGUCGGAACAAG